GGUGUUAGUCGUUGGGAAGCUAGUCUUCUCAGUGAUGCAGCUAACGCAUUAAACACCCCGCCUGGGGAGUACGGUCGCAAGAUUAAAACUCAAAGGAAUAGACGGGGACCCGCACAAGUGGUGGAGCAUGUGGUUUAAUUCGAAGAUACGCGAAGAACCUUACCUGGCCUUGACAUCCCAAGAACCUUCCAGAGAUGGAGGGGUGCCCCUUUUAGGGGAACUUGGUGACAGGUGCUGCACGGCUGUCGUCAGCUCGUGUCGUGAGAUGUUGGGUUAAGUCCCGCAACGAGCGCAACCCUCGCCUUUAGUUGCUAACAGUUAGGCUGAGCACUCUAAAGGGACUGCCUGGGCAACCAGGAGGAAGGUGAGGACGACGUCAAGUCAUCAUGGUCCUUACGGCCAGGGCGACACACGUGCUACAAUGGGAAGGACAAUGAGACGCAAUACCGCGAGGUGGAGCAAAUCUAUAAACCUUCUCUCAGUUCGGAUUGCAGUCUGCAACUCGACUGCAUGAAGCUGGAAUCACUAGUAAUCGCGGAUCAGCCAUGCCGCGGUGAAUACGUUCCCGGGUCU
rnacentral:rRNA from 1 species